AAGUGUAAGUCGUUAACGGAUACGAUAUGGGAAGGUUGAGCUGCUGUUUAUCUGAGAUGCUAUAAUUGUGGAGAAUUUUAUAUUUGAAAAUCUCUAAAAUGUUGCAUGAUGAGUUCCUGUAUGAUGAGAGUUUAAAAUCCUACCACAGCCAUAUAUACAUGCUUAUUAAACUAUGAACCAUACAUUUACUUUUUACUGCUUAUGAGCAUUGAGUGUGGUCAAGCUGUAGAUCCUUAGGAGCUUGUCAUGCGGUUAAAAUCAAGAUUCACUUGCACGUUCACUCAUACAUGCUGCUUCUACUCCGGAAGUACGCAUCCACGUACAUCCACUCAUUUCCAUAUCUAGAUUCACCCAAAAUUAUUCUACUCCUAUCUAGGAGAGAAUAGCCAAAAACAUUCUCCUAUCUCUGUUAUUCCCCGUGAAAUAAAUGCUCGAGAUAUUUUGGUUACUACCACUUGCUACAUUAUUCCAGGAGGGCGAGUGCUCUGAAAAAAAGGGGUGAAUACGAGGAAAUAAAAAGGGGCAAGUGCUCGAAACCUUAAAAAAAAGAAGAAGAAGAAAAAGUGAGACGAGAGGUAAAAUGGACAAGUGUCCGACAGUAGAAUUAGGGGUACAAGAUACCCACCUGAGAGAAAAGAAAAAUAAAAUAUAGAGCAUCUCAUUCCCCUCAAAAGCCUCAAGUGCAAGGAAGAUAUGUAUCCCGUCAAAAGAGCAAAAGUAGAAUUAGACUUUCACCAUUAUUUUCACCAUUAUCACCAUUCAUUCGCCACACAUGCACAUCUUGAUUUGACUUAUUGACUUGUUCUUCUGGAUCCAUGGUUUGACUAUGCAAUAAAUGUCUUGUAAGUAUGUAUUAGCUGUCUCCCACCUAUGAGCUCCAGAUAUCAAAACCUUAUUAGAGUAGGGUGAGAGAGAAGGCAAUGCCACUAUGCCUCAUACCAAAAAUACCACUGUCGGUGUUUUCCCCCCGGGGGGUCACACCAACGAGUAAAACUUGUGUGCGUGCUCCCUUUUCCAGAUGGUGAUGCAAAAGACACAAAGAUUUAUCCUGGUUUGGGCAAGAGAAGGCCCUACG
rnacentral:lncRNA from 1 species